rfam:Yokenella regensburgei ATCC 43003 genomic scaffold Scfld157, whole genome shotgun sequence.
UUACGUGACGAAGCGCGUGGCAAAGUGGACAAUAAAGCCUGAGCUACGUGACAGUCGCCCAGACGCCGGCCAAGCCGGCGUUUUUUU